rnacentral:sRNA from 1 species
ACUAGACGACACGGCUGUCUUCAUUCCUGGAGAAUUUCUCAAGGACUGCUGGCUGGAAACUUAACGGCUAAUGUGGAUCUGACCGUAGUUUGCCAAAUUAAGAAAACGUUUUUACCCUGUUGAAGAUUUGCUUUAACUUCAAAAGCGAUGACAAGACAGUAUGGACACCCCUUCAGGACCAACCUGAUAAGUCACUGGGUUUUUGUAAUCUCGCAAUAUUGAAAUCAAGAGACAUCACAGAACACAGCAGCAAAGAGACGGGGUUUCACCGUGUUAGCCAGGAUGGUCUUGAUCUCCUGACCUCGUGAUCCGCCUGCCUCGGCCUCCCAAAGUGCUGGGAUUACAGGCGUGAGCCACCGCGCCCCGGCAGCAAAGGAGUUAGGACCUUUGGGAGGUGAAUGAGAUCAGUGCUCUUAUAAAUUGGCUCCAGAGAGCUCCUUCGUCCCUUUCACCAUGUGAGGACACAGCUAGAAGACACCAUCUGUGAACCAGAAAGUGAGUCCUUAUCAGACACUGAAUCUGCUGGCACCUUGACUUCUUAGCCUUCAGAAAUGUGAGAAUUAAAUUUCUGUUGUUUAUAAGAUACACAAUUUAUGAUAUGUUGUUAUAACAGCCCAAACAUAUAUGAU